UACGGAGGAUCCGAGCGUUAUCCGGAUUUAUUGGGUCUAAAGGGUGCGCAGGCGGAAGAUUAAGUCGGUGGUGAAAUUUUGCAGCUCAACUGUAAAAGUGCCAUUGAUACUGGUUUUCUUGAGUGUGGAUGAAGUAGGCGGAAUUUGUGGUGUAGCGGUGAAAUGCAUAGAUAUCACGAGGAACUCCGAUUGCGCAGGCAGCUUACUAAACCAUAACUGACGCUCAGGCACGAAGGCGUGGGGAUCAAACAGGAUUAGA
rnacentral:rRNA from 1 species